rnacentral:lncRNA from 1 species
GUGUUAGGACAAUGACACUAUGUGCCCGAGUGUGGGGAAGAGAAUCCUGUGUAAAGGCAAUAACAGGCACUCCAAUGGGAGAGCUCGCUUACUGUGUUGGCAAACAGCAGUGCAGUCUGCGCUGCCGGACCGAGCCUGCCGGGUGUAGGUGGGGAUGGUGUCAUGGACCUUGCAGACCAAGGAAAGGAACUUGCAUUUUGGUGUUUAACUUUUUACUUGGAGACAAUUUCAAAAUUACUGGACCGUUAUAUAAGUGUGGUACAAAAGAUGUCUGCAUACCUUGGCUGCAAACACCCCAGCCACCUGCAAACAUUCCUCCAUUCACCUGAAUUACCUCCCGCGUCUACCUGUGAUGUGUACCCAUAGCCUGCAGUCUGAACUCAGAAUAAGUUGCAUCCACCGUGUCCAUUUCCACUGAAAAUGCAGUGAAUAUCUCCCACAGUCACGCCCCUCCCGCUACACUGAAUUUACCACUGGUCGGUGGCUCUGCAGUGUGUGUGUGUUGGUCGUCUCUCCAGUCACCUUCAUUAGCAUCCUCCCCUUAGGACAAAUCACGGACGAAUGAUGCGUUGUGCUUUCUUGCUGGUAUCUUUUAAUGUGGCAUAGCUUCUCUCUUCUCUGUUGGAAUAGACUAUUUCUCCUUUGG